rnacentral:tRNA from 1 species
GGUGAGAUGGCCGAGUGGUUAAGGCGCUACGUUCAGGAUCCGUUCUGAAAUCAGUCCCGUAGUCCGAAAGGGCGUGGGUUCGAAUCCCACUCUCAUCA